rnacentral:rRNA from 1 species
GACGAACCGUGCGAACGUUGUUCGGAAUCACUGGGCCUAAAGGGCGCGUAGGCGGCUUAUCAAGUCAGGGGUGAAAUCCGGCAGCUCAACUGUCGAAGUGCCUUUGAUACUGACGAGCUCGAGGGAGAUAGGGGUGUGUGGAACUUCCGGUGGAGCGGUGAAAUGCGUUGAUAUCGGAAGGAACGCCGGUGGCGAAAGCGACACACUGGAUCUCUUCUGACGCUGAGGCGCGAAAGCCAGGGGAGCAAACGGG